UACAUUAUACAUAUUUUUCUUUGAUUUUACUAAUUAAUAACUGCCAAACACCGGGUUUACAGCAUACAUUAAAGAAUAUAACUGUAGGUUUGCAGUGCGGAUGGUGGCGGAUUUUUCGGUAUCGAUCGACAGUCGACACAUCGUCUGUCAUGCGUCACUCGUAAUAUUCCAUUAACUUGAUCGUUACUUACAACUUGCGUCUGUUACCGUCUCUACCGGUUAAUGAGUACCAUCAACAGACUUCCAGCAAAUACCGCACACGAUAAUACUCUAAUUCAGGACACUGUCCUAAAAAAGUGGCAAACAAAUUGUUAUCAUUUCCACUCGCUGUACGGCGUCAUUUGCCAAGGGAUCGGCGGUGUUUUCACUGUGUCUGCGGUCGUAUCGCUGCCCAAGUGAUUUUCCUUUUUAUCCAUUUGCGUAUAAUCAACACCGCUGAGAUACGAUGCCAGUUCUUUGUUUUAUUUGUAAUGUAACAUUCUGUGGGGAAAAAACUCAUAUAUGUUCAAGCUUAACACCACACAGUUAUGUAUCAUACCCAGAAAAGAUUGGAGAACUUAUGGGAGAAGAAUGUGUUAUUAUUGUCACGUGUACGGAUCACAUGUGUAUGAAAUGCACAUCCCUUCUCAUUCCUAUGGACUAUCUGAAAAAUGAUCUGAAACUUGUUAAAAAUGCAAUAUUGACCAACCUACAAGAUAAAUACGGAAUGUUACCUAAUGGUCAGCCAGAAUGUCCCACUAGUGGUGGUGGAAGUAAUGCUCCAAAUAAAAUAAGACAAGACCCUUCAAAUAUUUAAAUAUACAAAUGCCGUUUUUGUUCAUUCCAAUCUAAUUACAUUUUUCACUUAAGGUAUAUCCAUAAAUACCUCAAUUUAUUUUAUAUGUAUUUAUAUUUCAGUGACUUAUUUCAUGCUUUGUCAUAUGAAGAAGAAUGAUAGUGAUAAAUCAAAACAAACUGUGACAAAAACAGUAACCCAACAACAGAAACCUCAGCAGAAACAAACCAACCAUCAGCUGAACAAGGACAAUAUCCCAGAUGAAAUCUCUGAAGUUCUUAAACAAGAGACAAAAUAUUUCUGAAAGAUAUCUGGACAAACAGAACCUUUGAAAGUCAACCAAGAAAUCACUGCUACAAAUGUAGAUAUAGGUGACAAGGCAAUUGGAGGCAGUGAGACUAUUUAAACAUUGAACCGAUUUUGCCUGCCAUUCAUAAUGUCGUCUUCUCUUCCUCAAAUGAUGGGACCUCUUUCUUAUGCAGUCUUGUAAAAUAUGAUGGCAGUUCUUUGUUUUAUUUGUAAUGGGACAUUGUGUGAGGAACUCAACAAACACGGGUAUGUUCAAGCUUUACACCACACAGUUAUGUAUCAUACCCAGAAAAGAUUGGAGAACUGAUGGGAGAAGAAUUUGUUAUUAUUGUCAUGCCUGCAGAUUACAUGUGCAUGAAAUGCACAUCCCCUCUCAUUCAUAUCGACAAGCUGGAAAAUUAUCUGAAACUUGUUAAAAAUGCAAUAUUAACCAACGUAGAAAAGAAAUACGGAAUGUUGCCUGAUGAUCAGCCUGAACAUUCCUCUAGUGCUGGUGAAAGUAAUGCUCCAAAUAAAAUUAGACAAGACCCUUCAAAUACAAGUGCUAUUUUUGUGCUUUCCGAUCUAAAGACCUUGGUGACUUUCGGUUGCACCGCCUACACCUGCGGUACUUGCGGCACUGAUUGAACCUAUGUUACAGCUAUCUGCCUUAAUGGUACUUGUCAUAAGUUUGCAUUUUCCAAAGAUGGUACUAGCAACACAAAUUUAUCUUAGGAGGGUCUGGCAACUAGCAACUCGUGAAUGUCUUGUUGAGGCACAACAAAGAAUUUGUUAUGACAGGCCAGGCGGAAGUUGAUAACGAACCUCGUGUACAAGGGAAUUGGAAAGAUGGACGGGACAAAAACUUGCAUAUAUCCAACUCGUUGUUCAAAACCCUUCUACAGAAUUUCUAGUUGUUGUGUACAGGGACAACUGGAUGGAGUUCACCAGCCAGCUAGACAACACUGUCAUUUAAGACGAAGGGUUUUCCAGAUACCAAGGAAUACAAGUCACAGGCUCUUUGUGAAGAACGUACAAAAAUUCCGCGUGAUCAUGAUUGUGCGUCGGUGAUUAUUAUAAGUGACGACGAUUCAUCCACGCAAGAGAGGAAAUCUCACUUGGACAAUCACAACGCCGCGAUACGGAAUGAAAAUCAGGUACCAGUACGGAAUGUCGAUUAUUGCGAUAAAAGUAUGGAUAAAGUAAUUGCCUGGGAUUGUGAUCCGGCGUCCAAUGUCUCUUACGAUUGGAGUAAGAUGGAUAAAUAAUUUCCAAAAUCGUAAUCGGCAGAACCUGAUGUUUGUUAUCCUUAUGGACGUAAUAAUUCUCUUUUUUAUAUUGUAUUGUUUAUAUUGUUUAUAUUAUUGUUUAUAUUGCAUUGUGUAUAUUGUAUUAUAUUUUGUAUUGUAUCAUAUUUUGUAUUGUAUUAAAAUUUGUAUUAUAUUGUUACAUUAAUUGUAUAAAAAUAUAUUGAAA